GACGAACGCUGGCGGCGCGCUUAACACAUGCAAGUCGAACGGAAAGGCCUGCUUUCCCUUGUGGAUUGCGGGUACUCGAGUGGCGAACGGGUGAGUAACACGUGAGUGAUCUGCCCCCAACUUGGGUAUAAGCCUGGGAAACUGGGUCUAAUUCCCGAUAGGACUGCAGGGUGGUGCCUGUGGUGGAAAACGAUUUUCUAGUGGUUGGGGAUGAGCUCGCGGCCUAUCAGCCUGUUGGUGGGGUAAUGGCCUACCAAGGCGGCGACGGGUAGCCGGCCUGGGAGAGUGGGCGGCAGCAUUGGGACUGAGAUACGGCCCAGACGCCGACGGGAGGCAGCAGUGGGGAAUAUGGCACGAUGGGCGGAAGCCUGAUGCAGCGACGCCGCGGGGGGGAUGACGGCCUUCGGGUUGUAAACUCCUUUCGACCGAGAGGAAGCCACCUGGUUGGAAGGGUGGUGACGGUAGUGGUAGAAGAAGCACCGGCUAACUACGUG
rnacentral:rRNA from 1 species